UUUAUCUGGUAAAGCGAAUGAUUAGAGGUCUUGGGGCCGAAACGAUCUCAACCUAUUCUCAAACUUUAAAUGGGUAAGAAGCCCGGCUCGCUGGCUUGGAGCCGGGCGUGGAAUGCGAGCCGCCUAGUGGGCCACUUUUGGUAAGCAGAACUGGCGCUGCGGGAUGAACCGAACGCCGGGUUAAGGCGCCCGAUGCCGACGCUCAUCAGACCCCAGAAAAGGUGUUGGUUGAUAUAGAUAGCAGGACGGUGGCCAUG
rnacentral:rRNA from 1 species